AGCAGUGGGGAAUAUUGCACAAUGGGCGCAAGCCUGAUGCAGCCAUGCCGCGUGUAUGAAGUAAGGCCUUCGGGUUGUAAAGUACUUUCAGCAGUGAGGAAGGUGGGUAUGUUAAUAGCAUAUUCAUUUGACGUUAGCUGCAGAAGAAGCACCGGCUAACUCCGUGCCAGCAGCCGCGGUAAUACGGAGGGUGCGAGCGUUAAUCGGAAUUACUGGGCGUAAAGCGCAUGCAGGUGGUUUGUUAAGUCAGAUGUGAAAGCCCGGGGCUCAACCUCGGAAUUGCAUUUGAAACUGGCAAACUAGAGUACUGUAGAGGGGGUAGAAUUUCAGGUGUAGCGGUGAAAUGCGUAGAGAUCUGAAGGAAUACCGGUGGCGAAGGCGGCCCCCUGGACAGAUACUGACACUCAGAUGCGAAAGCGUGGGGAGCAAACAGGAUUAGAUACCCUGGUAG
rnacentral:rRNA from 1 species